ACUCCGUGACUUCCUGGAAGGGGAGAGGUACUGAGGUUGAGUCUAUCCCCAAUGGCCAAUGAUGUCAUCAAUCAUGCCUAAAUAAUGAAGCCUCCAUAAAAACUCAAAAGGAUGGGAUUUGGAGAACUUCUGGAAUGCUGAGCAUGUGGAGGUGCCUGGAGAGGGCAUGGAAGCUCCACAUGCCUGCCCACAUACUUUGCACUGUGCAUCCCUUCCAUCUGGCUGUUCAUCUGUAUCCUUUGUAAUAUCCUUUAUAAUAAAUAGGUAUUAUGGUUUGGAUGUAUGUGUCCCUCCAAAAUUCAUAUGCUGGAACUUAAACUCUAACGUAAUAGUGUUAAAAGGUGGGAUCUUUGGUGAAGUGAUUAAGUCAAGAGGGUUGUACCCUUAUGAAUGGGAUUAAUGCCCUUAUAAAAGAAAAUGAAGGGAGUGCCCAGCCCUUUCAGCCCCUUCUACCAUGUGAGGAUGCAGCAAGAAAAUGCCAUGUUGGAAGGAGAGAGUAGCCCUCACCAGACACUGAAUCUGCUGGUGCCUUGAUCUUGAACUUCCCAGUCUCUAGAACUGUAAAAAAAAAAGUGUUUAUUAUUUAUAAAUUACCCAAUCUAAGGUAUCUUUUAUAGCAGCCCUAACAGACUGAGACAAUAAGUAAAUAUAAGUGUUUUUCCCCGAGUUCUGUGAGUCACUCUAGUUAACUAAUCGAAUCCAGGGAAAGGGCAGUGAGAACCCCCAAUUUAUAUAAAGCCAGUUGGUCAGAAAUACAGGUCACAACCUGGGACUUGUGCUUGGCAUCUGAAGUGUGGGGCAGUCUUGUGGGGCUAAGCUGUUGGAUCUGAUGCUAACUCUGGAUAGACAGUGUCAGAGUUGAAUUAUAGAACAUCCAGCUGGUGUCCACUGGAAAACUGAUUCUGGCUGGUGGGGAGAAAUCCCUACAUAUUUUGGUGACCAGAGGGGAAGUAUUCUGCAAUGACGAUGAUAGAAGGAAAAGCAGUUUGGUUUUUUUUCCUUGGGACAUAUCACAUAAUGGUAAGGGCUCAUGAUCUGGAGCAGACUACCUGAGUUCAAAUCCCAGCUUCACCACUAACCAGUUAUGUAAUUUGUUGAGCACUUAUUAUCUGCCAGGCACUGUGCUAAGUGCCUUGCAUGUAUUAAUAUUAUCUCAUGAGUAAAGAGACACAGAGAGGUUGAGUAUCUUAUCCUAGAUCUCACAGAAGAGCAGGGAUCUUAACACAGGCAUCUGAUUUCAGAGCCCACAUUCUUAACCACUGCACUCUAGCCUGGUUGACAGAGCGAGAUUCUGUCUCUCAAAAUAAAUAAAUAUAUAAAUGUUUAUCUUAUCCAAAAACAGCCUCACAGAAACACCCAGAAUAAUGUUUGACCAGGUAUCUGGGCACUGUGGCCCAGCGAAGUUGGCACAUAAAAUUAACUAUCACAGCUUCCAUCCAUCAAAAUAGGUAAAAAGACUCAGAGAAGGUGGUAAUGGGGAGACAGGGAAAUGUUUGGACAUGGAGUAGCCCAGCAGGACCAGCCUGAGAGGCCCCUAUUACAUGGUGAUGGCCAGGGACCCACUAAACACACCAACACCCAGUGAAAGCAACAACAAUAGGGGUGGGGGUAGAAUAGCAGACUCAUUUGGCCCACACACUCUCUCAGGCCCUUCUUACUAAACCUCCUAUCUGUAGGGAUAGUGUGAAAGGAUUUGGCAGGGUCCUGUAUGAGAAACCUCACAAAGUUUGGAUUGUCUUUUACAACCAUGAGCUGAAGGCCCAUUUGGUCAGGGACUCUUCAGUUUGGGAUGUGACACUCUUGGAUUAGGGGGAUCUGAAGAUCUUCUGUAAAGCACUACUUGGUUUCCAUCAAGCUGUGGAGGGAGUGCUCUUGGACACUAAAAAAAAAAAAAACACCUUCUCACUUCCUCAUUUGGGACUGUCAAGCCAAGAAUGCAAGGAGAGGUAUACAGAAAACACCUCAUUUGGAGUUAUUUACUUUAACUGCUCAGCAUUGUGAGAACAAGCUCAUUCUUGUACCUUUCCUCCGUGGAUUUGGUGAUCACAACAAGGGACUUAUCCAUCAUUGGAGUGGCCACAAUCUGAACAAGUUCCACCCACUGCCUGAGAGUCCUGCCCUGAAUUUUAGACUUUGAUCAUAAAAAAAUGGAUAAUAUAAUUUAACAGUGAAUAAAUUAGAUAUCAAUGAA
rnacentral:lncRNA from 1 species